GAUCCUGGCUCAGGAUGAACGCUGGCGGCGUGCUUAACACAUGCAAGUCGAACGAAGCACUCUGACUUCUUCGGAAUGAUGAGUGACUGAGUGGCGGACGGGUGAGUAACGCGUGGGUAACCUGCCGUAUACAGGGGGACAACAGUUGGAAACGACUGCUAAUACCGCAUAAGCGCACAGUACCGCAUGGUACAGUGUGAAAAACUCCGGUGGUAUACGAUGGACCCGCGUCUGAUUAGCUAGUUGGUGAGGUAACGGCCCACCAAGGCGACGAUCAGUAGCCGGACUGAGAGGUUGAACGGCCACAUUGGGACUGAGACACGGCCCAGACUCCUACGGGAGGCAGCAGUGAGGGAUAUUGCACAAUGGGCGAAAGCCUGAUGCGGCAACGCCGCGUGAGGGAUGACGGUUUUCGGAUUGUAAACCUCUGUCUUCAGUGACGAAUCAAUGACGGUAACUGAGGAGGAAGCCACGGCUAACUACGUG
rnacentral:rRNA from 1 species